rnacentral:rRNA from 1 species
GGCUCUCGAGCCCUAUUCUCACCCCGUGUCUACCUACUUUGUUGCUUCGGCGGCGCCAGCUCCGGCUGGGCUAAGUCCGUCGAGGGCCCAACUCUUGAAUCUCUGCUGUCUGAGUACUAGCUAAUAGUCAAAAACUUUCAACAACGGAUCUCUUGGUUCUGGCAUCGAUGAAGAACGCAGCGAAAUGCGAUAAGUAAUGUGAAUUGCAGAAUUCAGUGAAUCAUCGAAUCUUUGAACGCACAUUGCGCCCUCUGGCAUUCCGGGGGGCAUGCCUGUUCGAGCGUCAUUGCAACCCUCAAGCUCUGCUUGGUGUUGGGCUCGCCCUGUGGGGCCGGCCUCAAAGUCAGUGGCGGCAACGUCUGACCCCAAGCGUAGUAAUACUUGCCGCUUGUUGGGUGCGGGCGGUGGCUUGCUAACAACCCCCACUUUUACCGGUUGACCUCGGAUCAGGUAGGGAUACCCGCUGAACUUAAGCAUAUCAAUAAGCGGAGGAAAAGAAACCAACAGGGAUGGCCCCAGUAACGGCGAGUGAAGCGGCCACAGCUCAAAUUUGAAAGCUGGCCCCCUGGGGGGCCCGCGUUGUAAUUUGUAGAGGAUGCUUCGGGUGCGGCGCCGGUCUAAGUUCCUUGGAACAGGACGUCAUGGAGGGUGAGAAUCCCGUAUGUGACUGGUUGCCUGCGCCCGUGUGAAGCUCCUUCGACGAGUCGAGUUGUUUGGGAAUGCAGCUCUAAAUGGGUGGUAAAUUUCAUCUAAAGCUAAAUAUCGGCCAGAGACCGAUAGCGCACAAGUAGAGUGAUCGAAAGAUGAAAAGCACUUUGGAAAGAGAGUUAAACAGUACGUGAAAUUGUUGAAAGGGAAGCGCUUGCAACCAGACUUGCGCGGCGUCGAUCAGCCUGGGUUCUCCCUGGUGCACUCGGCGCCGCGCAGGCCAGCAUCAGUUCUGCCGGUGGGACAAAGGCCUAGGGAACGUGGGACGCCUCGGCGACCGUUAUAGCCCUAGGUGCCAUGCCGCCUGGCGGGA